UAUAAAUUUCAGAUGAUUUGAAAAUGGUUCAUGUUGCAUUUACUAUUGGCUUGAUAUGUAUCUAGAUAUGCCAAUUCACGUCAUCUCAGAAGAAUGAUCCCUGAUACAGAAUGUAGAGUCAGGCUGCAUCAUCACUAAAUGGUGAUAGAGAUCAAAUAAAAAUUUAAAUUAAUGAGAGUUAAAGCCAACGAAAAAAAUUUAGCCUAAAACUAACAAAUCAAGAUUUUACAUGGACUAAAUAUAUUUAGCUGCUUGAAUCAUUUGCGGGUAUAGGUAAAAAAUGUGUUUUUUGUUUUGUAAAUACUGACGAGGUGGAUUACCUUAAGUUUGGUGUAUUUGACCCUGAUUAUUAGUGUUUGUUAUAUGGAGCCAUGAGUAGCCAAUGGUGAGUUUGAGUUCUUAGUUUUAACUUGUAAUAUGACACCAAUUGUAAAUAUGAAAUUGGUGGAGUGCAGUAAUAGAAUUCUAGCAGUAGUGUUCUAAUUUUCUAUGUUCUUUGAUGAUAAACAUGUAUUCUUUUAUUCUAGUGUGUAUUAGUAUUUGCUAGCAAAGUUUAUCAUCUUGCAAUAAAUUAUAAAUGUACAGCCCUAGCAUUGGGAGAUCCAUCAGUGACACUUGAAGAAGUAACCCCUCCUGUGUUUUCUCCUGGGCCACUGUUUCCCAUAGAGGAUCGAAUUGUCCAACUAUUUGAAAGGAACACAUACUCUGUUGUUAACAUAUUCGAUGUGACAUUACGUCCUCAGCUUAAUGUAACUGGUGUGGUUGAGAUUCCUGAAGGAAAUGGUUCUGGAGUAGUUUGGGAUGAGGAUGGCCACAUUGUGACAAAUUAUCACG